GGGUGCGACUAAAAUGACUUAGUCGCAGGUUUUGCGAGUGGUCGGGCCGCCAUUC
rnacentral:ncRNA from 1 species